UGAGCCAAAACCUUGUCAAAUUGCUCAAGAUAUAGCUCAAGACACAACCACUAGUAAAUCGAGUCACUUACUACCCUUAGAUUGUAUGCGCUGACUUCAAAAUCCAAUAACUCCUUCAUCUCAAUUUAGAAUCUAGCAAAGUAGUGUACAAAAAGUAUAGCUGCAAAAGUGCUCUAUCUAAUCAUGGUUGCCGAUCCUCAAUUUCCAUCUGUACGCGUGCGUUAUGUCAAAGAGUGACAGUAGCUCCCAAAUCAACACCUCAACUUUGAGUGCCUAUAUCUCUUUUGUAUAUACUCCAAAUCAUAUAAGAUUUAUACCAAAACUAUAGCCAAAAUCCUAAACUUGCUGAUUUUAGUCCUUACAGCUCAAAUGGCUCUAAAAAACUAACCCUAAUCUCUAAUAUGGCCUUAGGCGGCCUCCUCAAAGCCUAUUAGUCAUGAUUUUUGACCAAUAGGAAUGGAGAUUUUCAACAUUCAUCUCCAUUCAUCUAUAUUAGUGCCCUAAUUACUCUCUUUGUUACCAAAAUUCUUUUUCAAUCCUUUUUCUUAUAAGAUUUUUAUAAUUUAUGCUCUAAACAUCAAAUAAAAGAAUCAAAAUAAGUUUUCAAAGGUCACCAAUAUUUAACAAAGGUGACUCUAAAUAUUUAGAAGUUAUUAUCAACCAAAACCAAUCUUAAAAGUAACUAUCAAAAAAGAAAUUAAAUUUAUAAAAAUUCUAUAGUAAUCUUUUUAAAAAACCUCUUUUCAAGGUAAUAAUCAAGUUAUAUUCUACAACCAACUAGAAUCUAUUAACACGACUCUCACCAUGUUACUUAGCAAAUUAUAUAUUAAGUAUAUAGUUACAUUAUUUUCAUAUAAUAGCCAAAUCACAACACAACAUCCACCCUUUCUAAACCUGUGCAUCCUCUUAUAUGCACCAAGAAGAACUAAAGUUGUGGUCGGUAUCAUAUUACUUCUUCAAUAAUGUCUUCUUCAAAAUCCAAUUCUUCUUCUUCAUACUUGGAUAGAUCAAAAUCUUCUUCAAUGUCUUUGAGGACUAGUUCUUACUCCCAUUGUUAGAAAAGAUUUAUAUGUUUUCUUGUAAUUGGAAUUUUGAAUCUUGUUCCAUCUAAUUUUCCUUAACACAUAUGUAGCAUUAUCCAAAACAUGUACAAGCACAUAAGGUCCAAACCAAUGCUUAGAGUACUUUUUAAGAGCACUAUGUUGGUUAUCCAAGCUGUUGUUAUAUAUCAAAACCCAAUCACCUUCUUGAAUAUCUUUUAGCCUCAACUUGUGUUGCUUAUCAAAUCUAUCUUUAUUCUUUAAGUGAGACUUCUUCAGCCUUAUAAUUAAUUUUUUUCAUAUCUUCAGGUCUUCUGUCUAGUUGACGAAUUCAAAGUACAAGAAGCUCUUUUUUAGAUAUAUUAUCUUAAUAAGGCAAGAUAAUCCAAGUGGAUAUUUACUCUUCAAUUGGCAUAAUGGACUUUUGUCCUUGCAUUAACUCUGUCGACAUAUAUCUUGUCACUGUACUAUGAGUAGUAGGAUUAGCUCAAAGAGCAAAUGGUAAUAACCUUGGCCAUUCUCUUGCUCUUCCUUUACAAGUUUCAACAAUGGCCUUUACAAUAAGAGUAUAACCUCGCUCACUCUUAGCAUUGCUUUCUAGAUUAUAAGAUGUAGUAAGUGCUAGCUUGACUCCAUAUCUCUCAAAGAACUGUCUAGCCUUAUGUGCAUCCAAUUCUCCAUGAUCAAGAGUAAUUUUUUCAAUACAUCCAUAUUUACAAAUCACAUCUUCCAAUAAAAAUCUAUAAAUUCCUUUAGUGGAUUUUGUUUGUAGAGUUCUUUCUUCUACUUGGUUAGAUAAAUAUUUUCAUGCCAGAGCCAAGUACCACAUUUGCCAUAUCUCCAUAGACAUAGUAACUAGGUCCACAACCCAUUUAUAAUGUAUUGCAAGUGGAUAUAUAGGAUGCAAUCUAUCUCUAUGUCGAAUCUCUGAGUAUAUCUGACAAGUCUGGCAUGAUUCUACAAACUUCACCACAUCUCUAUAUAUGUUAUAUCACCAAUAUUUUUCUUUGAGCUUGUUAAAGGUAGCAUAAAUACCUCUAUGUCCAGCCUACAAACUAUCAUGGAAUUCAUGGAUUAAUUGUUCUUGCAUCUCUUUCUUGUAAACUAUUCUUUGUGGCAUUCGACUAUCUUGUUUGCAUCGCUUCUAUAGGUAACUACCUUAUAAGAGGUAGUUGUAAGCCUUCCGUUUAAUCUGUUUGAAAUGAGUAUGACUCCAUCUUGAUUGUCUUGAUAAUAAACUUAAAUGACAUCCAAUAUCAAUCCAUUCUUCUUCAUAUAAUUCUUCUAUAAAUGAACUUAGAUAUUCAUCCUCUCCUUUUUGUGUCCUAGAAUAGAAGGUAGUACCUAUAUCUUCAGUAUCUUCAAUUAAAUCUUCUUCUUGUUCAUAUCUAGCUCAAUGUAACAUAUCUGCUAUAAGAUUAUUCUUGCCUGUUAUAUGCCUAAAUUCAGGAUUCAAAGUUUUAAUAUAUGUAAUCUAUCUUAGCAUAGCAAUAUUAGGGGUGUUACAGUUAGUAAUCAUUCCCAAUAGUGACAAACAAUCUGUUUCUACUAUCACUGGUGUCCCAAUUAAAUAAUCUCUUUCAUUUUUCAUAGCUGUAACAAUCUCCAUAGCUCCCGUUUGACCUGUGGAUAGUUUCUUUGUCGUUCACUUAAUAAUUUAGCUCCAAAUCUAAUAGCAAACAUGUUACCUUCUUCAUUGUUUUGCCCUAAAGUCCAACCAACAACUAUUGGACUAGUAUCAACUGUAAGUAUCACCAAUUUGCCAUCCUCAUAAGUUAUCCUUCGUAAUACAGGUGAAAAAGAUAAUAAUUGCUUUAGCUUUUGAAUUAUUUCUAUGUGCUUCUUCUCCCACUUAAAUCUCUUAUUUUUUUAUAGUAAACUAUAAAGAGAAUGAGCUACAUGUACAUAAUGAGGAAUCCAUACAUAAUAAAAUAUGCAAGCUCCUAAAAUCCUCCGCACCUCUAUUUGUAAGCUACAAAUAUCCUUCAUUUAUUAUAUGACAUCCACCUUAUUAGGAUCAGGUUUGCAACCAAACCAUCUACACAAAUGCCCCACAAUAACAACUUUUCAAACUCCAAAGGUAGAUUUAGCUCUUGACAGUGUCAAGUGAACCUCCUCAAGUUGAGAAAAUUUUUUAUCACAGUUUAAAAAAUGACUAGAUACAAAUUUACGGCACCCCUUCUGAUCCAUUGUUUCAUUUUUCUUGUCUUCUACAUACCUUUUUAUUGGAAUAUCAUCCAAGAAAGACAUAGUCAUUUCUGGAAUAAAAUCACGAAGAACCUUAUUCAUCCCAUUCAUCAUGUGAGCUACCGAGUUUGUUGCUCCUUGUGGCAAUGUAUACAUCUUAACCAACUCUAAAGGUAUACUCAUAGUAGUGAUAUCUUUGCUUCCUUCAACUAGUUGAAAUUGAUCAUAUCCAGAAUAGAGAUCUUUAAUAGAGUAAAUAGCUCUACCAGCAAAUGCUUCAACAAAUUUUUCAACAAUAGGUCUAACUCCAAUAUUUCUAAUGGUCACUUGAUUCACUGGUUGCAUAUCUUGAAUGAACCGUAGUAUUCCAUUUUUCUUUGGUACUAUAAACCAAGGACUGGAAUAUGGUACAAAUGAUGGUUCUAGGAUCUUCAUUUGCAUCUUUUCUUUUAAAAGCUCCAUAAAUUUAGAUAGAUGCGCUUUAGGCAUUGAAAUUGGUCUUAAAUUCCAAGAAACAUGCGGAACUGUAAAUAUAAUCAUUGGUGCCACAAUACUUGGAUCAACACGUCCAAUUUCUGAAGGUUCAAAAGUAAAAGCCUUUUCAUACGUACUUAGUAUAUUUCUAAAUUCUAUUUCUUCAACAUAUAUUAAAAAAUUUGUAAAUCCUACUUUCAACUCAUUCAAUGUGUUCUUAAUAAACUUGUGGCCAAUUUCUUUAGGAUCCCAUAAGCCCUUCUCCUUCAAAGCUUGUUGAACUUGAUGAUUGGAAUCACUAGGUAAUGGUAUAGCUACAGGUUUUAUUUUCCUCUCUAUAAUUUUGUAACUAGUUUUAACUUUGACUUGAUAAUCUUGAAAUGCUUAUAUAGCUGAGUAGAGCUCUCUUGAAUGUACUUGUAUCACUUGAUCUUCAUUUCCUUAUUCAAUCUCUAAAAGUUCUUCCAUAAAAUCUUCUAAAUCAGUCUCCAUAUAUACACCUACUAUCUUAUCAUCUCCAUCAAGCACAUCUACUCUUUUUAGGUCUUUUUUUAUUCUUUUUACAACUUUUUUCUCCCACUUUGGUAGAUCAUUAAGUUGUAUAUAGAUAAUAAAUCCAUUCUUAGAUAAUUCUACAAUACAUAUAUAAAAGAUACUUUCUUUUUCAUGCGAGAGUACCUUCUUUGAUGUACCACUAUAUUCCUGCUCUAUAGUGGUAUCUUGUAAAAAUCUAUAAACACUUGACUAACUCUUGGUAAUAAAUCACUUCAUAAAUAAUCUCAAUUGCGCUCAUGGUUUGAAGGUAUUGUUAGAAUUAUACUACCUUUUUUCCAUCUUGACUUCUAAUACGGGUACAUAUUGAUCUGUCAUCGAAAAUCUUGGUCUCCAUCUUGAGAGGUGUAAUAUAUGGUUGACCAAGAAUCAUUGGGUAUGAAGUAGUGUUUUGAACAAAUUUUUUUUAUUUUGUGGUCACAUCUCCAAUUUUUAUCUUUUUAUUGAGGCAAGUACCAUAAAAAUCUCCUCGUGUAUUAUUUGCUGCCCGAAUUACUCAACUAUGGUUAGUAUCAAUGGGCCACCUUCCACAUUUAUAGACUUCUUUUGACAUAAUAUUAAUUUCAGUUCUAUGUUUAAUGAGAGCAAUUAUUGGAUCUACCAAGUCUUUCAUUUUUACUAAAGUCUCUCUGGUGGUUCUUGUCCAAUGUCCCUUGGUAUAGUGUCCAAGGCCCUUGUCAUCAUACUUGUAUUCAUCCAAAUCAAAUUAUCUUUUUUUAUUGAUACAACAUUCUACCAAUUCAUGUUCCUCUUCUUCAGUUAAGAUUGUAUCUAAAGCAUUACAUAUAGAAGAUUUUCCUGUCAACUGCCUCUUUCGCUUAAUGGUGUCGAUGAUGACUUCAUGAAACUCUCUCUUUGCAAUGCCUAAAAUUUCUUGUAGAAUAAAUUCAAUUUUGGCAUUCAAUAUUCUUUCUUCCAACACUGCUUUCAAAUCUGUGGCUACCUCAAUAUCUGAUUGUAGCUUGUAAGUAACAUGAUUACUCUUCCUUUGUCUUUAUCAACUUCUAUCUUUUCUUUCCAUUCUUUUUUUGGUAGUGGUACUUUUCUAGGAUGCAAUGUUGAUGGCCUAGCCUUAGAUGGUCUAUUAGCUUGUGGUAUAGGUAUUUCUUUAUUUUGUGUUGUUUCUGCAUACCUUUGAGAUCUCUUCUCGUUGAUUGGCUCUUCAAAAUUUUCUUCUAUUUCAUUUCUUUUCCUUUUUAGCUCCAUUAGAGCUUCAUGUUGGGAUUUUACCAAAUAGGUAUAUACAAACAUAGUAUAUAUAGGAUCAUCCCAUCUUAUGACAUUUCUAAUUAUUGUGGCUGUAUUAAGUAAUUCUUACCUUCUUAUUUUUUUAUUUAUUCAUGCUGAUAAUAGCAUGAUUCCAUAGAUCUCUUAUUUUUACAUGCUUGUCAAAAACAUCUUUCAUCUCCCUUAUAGCCUCAAUGCCAUAAGUAAUAGCUUCUCUUGAUGCCAUAGCCUAUUGAGAUAAAUGCUCUUCCAAAACCUUCUUCAUCUUUCUUUUUUCAAAAUUGGUUUCGAGAAACUCACAUGUAUCUUAUGACAUAAUUUUUCUAUAUUUCUAUAAAAUUACUCCUUAUCAUAAAAUAUUAGCAAAAUUUCCAUACUCUCUUUGAGCAUGCUCCAUACUAUCAUAUCAAAUACAUCUUUGUAUAUAUCCUGGCUUUAAUACAAAUUUAUUCUCAGGUAAUCCUUCUUUUUCUUCUAGCUUUGCCAGUUUGAUUUGUAAGUCUUUUAUUUCUUUUACCAACUCAUCAAUCGCAUCUUUCUAUGGUACAUCUGUAGACAUAGGAAUUGGAAUAGUACUUAUUGGAAUAGUAGAUUCUAGCAAUUGUCUAUGAGGUAUUGUAGUUGGUGAAGGUCUAAUUUCUUGCCUUACUACCACCUUAUCUCUUUGGUACUCUCUUUUAGCAAGUAUGCCCACAGCUUCAAAGACUUUCUUCCAAUAAGUAGUAAGUCCAUUGUCCUCUAUAUUAUCCUCCAAUAGUAAUUCCAACUCUCUUUGUAAAUCAUUGUCAGCUGAUUGAAGAAAUAACUCUACCCUAUCAUUUUCAAGUGUAAGCUUUUUCACUCGAGACAAUUGAAGAAAUUGUCUCUCAAAUUCUUGGAAUAACUCUGUUGCAACCAACCUCUUGUUGGAUUUAUUGAUGCAUUCUAUAAACGAUUUUCUUGUCAUUCUUUCUACAUCUUCCAAAGAAUACUCUUCUUUUAGUUGAAGGAUAAAAUCCUCCCAUUUUUCUCCAUGAGUUUUAAUAAUCUCUUUUAUAUGCAUACAAAGCUCUAGUACAACUGUAAGCUCAAAUGUUAGGAUCAUAUCUUUCUCCAAUACUUUAUUCAACUCCAUCUCUCGAGAAUAAUACUUAAGAUACUUAGAAAUAUUUCUUCCAUCAAAUUGAUCCAAUAAACCAACAAAAGAUUGCAAGGCUUUAGUAGCCAUUGCUUCCUUGUGUUCCACUGCUUGUUGUUGUUGCAUAAAAAGUAUAAAUACUUGAAAUAUUUGAGUUGUAGCAAGAUCAAGUUGAAAUGGAGAUUUCCAAAUGCAAUUCCUACUACUACUUUUUUUCCCUCUUUUAUAAUAGAAAGCCAAAAUAUUUCUUCAAAACUCUCUACCCCAAAAAUUUUCACGUCCGAUUCACUGAGUCUGUCGUAUCUCGUGAUUUGCUAUAUGGAAAUAUACUGGGUAUCUAGCUGUAGAGAGUUUAGUUUAAGCAUUGAUAUGAAUCUUGUCUUAGAUUCCAAAACUCCUUUGAUUUGCAUAAAACUCAAAAUAUAACAAAAUCCCUUCAAAAUAUAUUUUUUCUUCAAAGGAUUUUCUUGUCUAGAAAUUUAGAAAUUCAUUACUCUUGAUCUAGCCAUUUAGUUUGUUUCAAAUAUAUAGGAUAGGUAGAAUUCAUCUUUAAAUUUUACCACAAAAAAAUUAACUGCAAAUUCACUCUCGGUCUUUUGACAUCUAAGAAAUCCUAGUAGAUACUCUAAAUCCUAAUUUACAAGCACUCGAGCACUAUUUUCUUAAUAUCUCAAGAAUUCAAUACUCAAAUAUCAUACAAAGUUUAUUAACAUGAAUUUAUACAUUUUCUAAAAUUUUGAGCCAAAACCUUGUCAAAUUGCUCAAGAUAUAGCUCAAGACACAACCACUAGUAAAUCGAGUCACUUACUACCCUUAGAUUGUAUGCGCUGACUUCAAAAUCCAAUAACUCCUUCAUCUCAAUUUAGAAUCUAGCAAGUAGUGUACAAAAAGUAUAGCUGCAAAAGUGCUCUAUCUAAUCAUGGUUGCCGAUCCUCAAUUUCCAUCUGUACGCGUGCGUUAUGUCAAAAAGAGUGACAGUAGCUCCCAAAUCAACACCUCAACUUUGAGUGCCUAUAUCUCUUUUGUAUAUACUCCAAAUCAUAUAAGAUUUAUACCAAAACUAUAGCCAAAAUCCUAAACUUGCUGAUUUUAGUCCUUACAGCUCAAAUGGCUCUAAAAAACUAACCCUAAUCUCUAAUAUGGCCUUAGGCGGCCUCCUCAAAGCCUAUUAGUCAUGAUUUUUGACCAAUAGGAAUGGAGAUUUUCAUCAUUCAUCUCCAUUCAUCUAUAUUAGUGCCCUAAUUACUCUCUUUGCUACCAAAAUUCUUUUUCAAUCCUUUUUCUUAUAAGAUUU
rnacentral:lncRNA from 1 species